rnacentral:rRNA from 1 species
UACGUAGGUGACAAGCGUUGUCCGGAUUUACUGGGCGUAAAGAGCGCGCAGGCGGUCGUUCAAGUCGAGUGUGAAAGCCCCCGGCUCAACUGGGGAGGGUCAUUCGAUACUGAUCGACUCGAAGGCAGGAGAGGGUAGUGGAAUUCCCGGUGUAGUGGUGAAAUGCGUAGAUAGUCGGGAGGAACACCAGUGGCGAAGGCGACUACCUGGCCUGUUCUUGACGCUGAGGCGCGAAAGCUAGGGGAGCAAACAGG